GAGGGGAAUCUGAUCAGCCCGCCGCGUGCGUGAAGAAGGCCCUCGGGUUUGUUAAGCACUUUUUAUAUUGGAAAAAAAGCACCGGGUUUGCCCCUGGUGUUGUCGGGUACCGGUCUGAAUAAACUCCGACUAACUCCACUUCAUGCCCCGCGCCUAAUACGAUACGA
rnacentral:rRNA from 1 species